rnacentral:rRNA from 1 species
AACGUAGGACACAAGCGUUAUCCGGAGUUACUGGGCGUAAAGGGCGUGUAGGCGGACGUGUAAGUCUAUUCUGAAAGCUCCUGGCUAAACUGGGAGAGGCGAAUGGAGACUGCAUAUCUAGAGUGAGGAAGAGGAAAGUGGAAUUCCUGGUGUAGCGGUGAAAUGCGCAGAUAUCAGGAAGAACACCAAUGGCGAAAGCAGCUUUCUGGGACGGUACUGACGCUGAGACGCGAAAGCGUGGGGAGCGAACAGG